rnacentral:rRNA from 1 species
AACGAACGCUGGCGGCAUGCCUAACACAUGCAAGUCGUGCGAGAACUAGGAAGCUUGCUUUCUGGUGAAAGCGGCGCACGGGUGAGUAACGCGUAGGUAACGUACCCAUAGGUUGAGGAUAACCUGCUGAAAAGCGGGCUAAUACUCGAUAAGCUCAUUUUUGGUUCGCUUUAAAUGAGGAAAGCGGGGCAACUCGCGCCAAUGGAACGGCCUGCGUCCCAUCAGCUAGUUGGUAUGGUAACGGCUUACCAAGGCUACGACGGGUAACUGGUCUGAGAGGACGACCAGUCACACUGGGACUGAGACACGGCCCAGACUCCUACGGGAGGCAGCAGUGGGGAAUAUUGGUCAAUGGGCGAAAGCCUGAACCAGCAAUGCCGCGUGGGUGAUGAAGGCC